ensembl:misc_RNA 7SK 7SK RNA
CAGUGUGAGGACAAUCUGGCUGGGAUAUCUGUCAUCCCAUUGAUCCCCAGCAUUGAUUUUGGCUGAUCUGGCUGGCCAGGCAGGUGUCCCCUUCUUCCCUCAGUGUUCCAUGUGAAUCCCUCCCAAAGCUGCAUGUUAGGUUGAAGAGGACAACUUUCCCCCAUACAGGAGGACCGUCAAGGAUAUAUGAGUAGCUGCUCUCCUCUGCUAGAACCUCAAAAUAAGCUCUCAAAAUAAAAAGCUUCUGCAGAACAAGGAAAUAACUAAGAGUUCGAAGAGAGAGCCUACAGAUUGGGAGAAAAAUCUUUGCUAGCUACUCUUCCAGCAGGGUAUUCAUAACCAG